GCUGUUCGGUGUGCACGCUUUCUUCGCCAGCAGAACCGGGCCUACACGCUAGCAACCAUGUCGAAGGGACCUGCAGUUGGCAUUGAUCUUGGCACCACCUACUCCUGUGUGGGUGUCUUCCAACAUGGCAAAGUGGAGAUCAUUGUCAACGAUCAGGGCAACAGAACCACGCCAAGCUACGUUGCCUUCACAGACACCAAACGUUUAAUCGGCAAUGCCGCAAAAAACCAGGUGGCAAUAAACCCCACCAACACCGUUUUUGAUGCCAAACGUCUGAUUGGACGUAGAUUUGAUGAUGCUGUUGUCCAAUCUGACAUGAAGCACUGGCCCUUCAUGGUGGUGAAUGAUGCAGGCCGGCCCAAGGUCCAAGUCGAAUACAAAGGCGAGUCGAAAAGCUUCUAUCCAGAGGAAGUCUCCUCUAUGGUUCUCACAAAGAUGAAGGAAAUUGCAGUAGCCUAUCUUGGGAAGACUGUCACCAACGCUGUCAGCGCCAGGCAACAAAAGAUGCUGGAACAACUGCUGGUCUGAAUGUACUGAGAAUUACCAAUGAGCCAACUGCUGCUGCUAUUGCUUAUGGCUUAGACAAGAAGGUUGCAGCUGAAAGAAACGUGCUGAUCUUUGAUUUAGGAGGUGGCACUUUUGAUGUGUCACUCCUCACCGUUGAGGAUGGGAUCUUUGAGGUCAAAUCUACAGCAGGAGACACCCACUUGGGUGGAGAAGACUUUGACAACAGCAUGGUCAACCAUUUCUUUGCCGAAUUCAAAUGCAAGCAUAAGAAGGACAUCAGUGAGAACAAAAGAGCUGUCCGCCAUCUUCGUACUGCUUGUGUGCACUAAGCGCACCCUCUCCUCCAGCACCAGUAUCGAGAUUGACUCCCUUUAUAAAGGCAUUGACUUCUAUACCUCCAGGCCAGUGUUGAGAUUGACUCUCUUUAUGAAGGCAUUGACUUCUAUACCUCUAUUAUCCGUGCUCGAUUUGAAGAGUUGAAUGCUGACCUGUUCCGGGGCACUCUGGAUCCUGUAGAAAAAGCCCUUCGCGAUGCCAAACUAGACAAGUCACAGAUUCAUGACAUUGUCUUGGUUGGUGGUUCCACCCAUAUUCCCACGAUCCAGAAGCUUCUACAAGACUUCUUCAACGAGAAAGAGCUGAAUAAGAGCAUUAACCCAGAUGAAGCUGUUGCAUAUGGUGCAACUGUCUAGGCAGCCAUUCUAUCUGGAGACAAAUCUGAAAAUGUUCAAGAUUUGCUGCUAUUGGAUGUCACCCCUCUGUCCCUGGGUAUUGAGACUGCUGGUGGAAUCAUGACUGUACUCAUCAAACGCAAUACCACCAUUCUUACCAAACAGACUCAGACCUUUACCACCUACUCUGACAACCAGCCCGGUGUGCUCAUUCAGGUAUAUGAAGGUGAACUGGCCAUGACCAAGGAUAACAACCUGCUUGGAAAGUUUGAACUCACAAGCAUACCUCCUGCACCAAGAGGUGUUCCUUAGAUUGAGGUCACUUUUGACAUUGAUGCCAAUGGCAUCCUCAACGUCUCUGCUGUAGAUAAAAGCACAGGAAAGGAGAACAAGAUCACAAUCACCAAUGACAAGGGUCAUCUUAACAAGGAGGAUAUUGAAUGCAUGGUUCAGAAAGCUGAGAAAUACAAAGCUGAAGAUGAGAAACAGAGGGAUAAGUUAUCAUCUAAGAAUUCCCCGGAAUCUUGGGCAUUCAACAUGAAAGCAUCUGCUGAAGAUGAGAAGCUUCAGGGCAAGAUCAAUGAUGAGGACAAACAGAAGAUCCUUGACAAGUGCAAUGAGAUCAUCAAUUGGUUGGAUAAGAAUCAGACUGCAGAAAAGGAAGAAGCAGAAGGAGCUGGAGAAAGUGUGCAACCCUAUCAUCACCAAGCAGUACCAGAGUGCAGGCAGCAUGCCAGGAGGAAUGCCUGGUGGCUUCCCUGGAGUGGGGGGUGGGGCUUCCUCUGGGCCCACCAUUGAAGAGGUUGACUAAGGCAACCCAAAUACACAUGUAGCAUUGUUCCACACAAUAAAAGAUUUAAAGACCCAAAUUUAGCAACUUCUAUGGCAGUUUUUAAAAGUUGAGCUGCUGUAGUGAAUUACUGGGCAUUCUCAAUACUUGAAUAUGGAACAUAUACACAGGGAAAAACAUUAUCAUUGUACUUUAUAAAGCACCGUAUUGUAAGUGGAAAAUGCAAUGUCUUAAAUAAAUAUAUUUAAAAUUGGCAAAAAAA